rnacentral:rRNA from 2 species
UUCCGGUUGAUCCUGCCGGACCUGACUGCUAUCGGAUUGAUACUAAGCCAUGCGAGUCAUUGUAGCAAUACAAGGCAUACGGCUCAGUUACGCGUAGUCAACCUAACCUAUGGACGGGAAUAACCUCGGGAAACUGAGAAUAAUGCCCGAUAGAACAUUAUGCCUGGAAUGGUUUAUGUUCCAAAUGAUUUAUCGCCGUAGGAUGGGACUGCGGCCUAUCAGUUUGUUGGUGAGGUAAUGGCCCACCAAGACUAUUACAGGUACGGGCUCUGAGAGGAGUAGCCCGGAGAUGGGUACUGAGACACGGACCCAGGCCCUAUGGGGCGCAGCAGGCGAGAAAACUUUGCAAUGUGCGAAAGCACGACAAGGUUAAUCCGAGUGGUUUCUGCUAAAGAAACCUUUUGUCAGUCCUAGAAACACUGAUGAAUAAGGGGUGGGCAAGUUCUGGUGUCAGCCGCCGCGGUAAAACCAGCACCUCAAGUGGUCAGGAUGAUUAUUGGGCCUAAAGCAUCCGUAGCCGGCUCUGUAAGUUUUCGGUUAAAUCUGUACGCUCAACGUACAGGCUGCCGGGAAUACUGCAGAGCUAGGGAGUGGGAGAGGUAGACGGUACUCGGUAGGAAGGGGUAAAAUCCUUUGAUCUAUUGAUGACCACCUGUGGCGAAGGCGGUCUACCAGAACACGUGCGACGGUGAGGGAUGAAAGCUGGGGGAGCAAACCGGAUUAGAUACCCGGGUAGUCCCAUGCUGUAAACUAUGCAAACUCAGUGAUGCAUUG